rnacentral:lncRNA from 1 species
AGCUUGUGUCUGCCACCUGCCCUUGGCCAUCACACUGAUGCACCGGGUCCCGUGCUGGCCACAGCCUGCUGCUCAGCAUCGCCUGUGCUCUGUGGGGACUCUGAUGAGGCUGGGGCUUUGCAGCUGGCUCCACAGCGGGCUUUGGUGCUUGCGCACGUGCUGGGUAGAAGUUACACAGUCGUGCUGUCAGUAUAGUGACUUGCCCCCUUUGAUGUUAGAGGGAAUCGAAGACUGUCUUCUUUAUAUCUUGAAACCCUGUGACAGGAUUGACCCAGAGAAGCUCUCAGUGAAUUCUUACUUUAUGAAAGACCUGUGCUUGGACAGUUUGGACCAAGUAGAGAGUAAGCAUGGUCAUGGAAGAUAAAUUUGGGUUUGAAAUUCCUGGUAUAGAUAUGGAAAAGUUAAUAUGUCCACAAGAAAUUGUAGAUUAUAUUGCAGAUAAGAGAGAUGUAUAUGAAUA